GAUGAACGCUGGCGGCGUGCCUAAUACAUGCAAGUCGAGCGAACGGACGAGAAGCUUGCUUCUUUGAUGUUAGCGGCGGACGGGUGAGUAACACGUGGAUAACCUACCUAUAAGACUGGGAUAACUUCGGGAAACCGUAGCUAAUACCGGAUAAUAUUUUGAACCGCAUGGUUCAAAAGUGAAAGACGGUCUUGCUGUCACUUAUAGAUGGAUCCGCGCUGCAUUAGCUAGUUGGUAAGGUAACGGCUUACCAAGGCAACGAUGCAUAGCCGACCUGAGAGGGUGAUCGGCCACACUGGAACUGAGACACGGUCCAGACUCCUACGGGAGGCAGCAGUAGGGAAUCUUCCGCAAUGGGCGAAAGCCUUACGGAGCAACGCCGCGUGAGUGAUGAAGGUCUUCGGAUCGUAAAACUCUGUUAUUAGGGAAGAACAUAUGUGUAAGUAACUGUGCACAUCUUGACGGUACCUAAUCAGAAAGCCACGGCUAACUACGUG
rnacentral:rRNA from 1 species